rnacentral:rRNA from 1 species
GGUGAACGCUGGCGGCAGGCCUAACACAUGCAAGUCGAGCGGCAGCGGGUUCCCGCGAGGGGAUGCCGGCGAGCGGCGGACGGGUGAGGAACACAUCGGAAUCUGCCUGGUUGUGGGGGAUAACGUAGGGAAACUUACGCUAGUACCGCAUGCGACCCUGAGUCGACGGACUGGGGGUGAAAGUGAGGGACCUUCGGGCCUCACGCGACCAGAUGAGCCGAUGUCGGAUUAGCUAGUUGGCGGGGUAACGGCCCGCCAAGGCGACGAUCCGUAGCUGGUCUGAGAGGAUGAUCAGCCACACUGGGACUGAGACACGGGCCCAGACUCCUACGGGAGGCAGCAGUGGGGAAUCUUGGACAAUGGGCGCAAGCCUGAUCCAGCCAUGCCGCGUGGGU